rnacentral:rRNA from 1 species
UACGUAGGGUCCGAGCGUUGUCCGGAAUUACUGGGCGUAAAGAGCUCGUAGGCGGUUCGUCGCGUUGUUCGUGAAAACUCACAGCUUAACUGUGGGCGUGCGGGCGAUACGGGCAGACUAGAGUACUGCAGGGGAGACUGGAAUUCCUGGUGUAGCGGUGGAAUGCGCAGAUAUCAGGAGGAACACCGGUGGCGAAGGCGGGUCUCUGGGCAGUAACUGACGCUGAGGAGCGAAAGCGUGGGGAGCGAACAGG